GUUUAGCGGCAACUGUCUCUAGAGGAGCUGGUGCGAUAAUACCAGCUGAAGAGGAAGGUACCAAGCACCAGCAAGUCAAGAUGAAGACGGGGCAUGCAGUAGUCAAACCUAACCCAAGCUAGUAGCUGGCAGCAGUCACAAGAGCAUCAGCAGCAACUUGAACAGUGGAAGCAAUUCAGACAUAGCGGCCGUAUCGACGCUAUAGAAGGUAUUAUGCUAGCGUGCGUUUUGCGCACAAGUUCAUUGGCCUACUAAAAACAAUCACAUGUUACCAUCGCCGCUGGGAAAUUGGUUGAAUAAAAUGCACAAUAUCAUGUAAUAAAUAAUUAUGGCUACGAUGCCUGGUGGCAUAAAUUA